rnacentral:rRNA from 1 species
UACGGGGGGGGCAAGCGUUGUUCGGAAUUACUGGGCGUAAAGCGCGUGUAGGCGGACCGUUAAGUACCUUGUGAAAUCCCACGGCUCAACCGUGGAACUGCUGGGUAUACUGGCGGUCUUGGGCCACUCAGGGGUUGCCGGAACAAACGGUGGAGCGGUGAAAUGCGUAGAUAUCGUUUGGAACGCCGAAGGUGAAGACAGGCAACUGGGAGUGCGCCGACGCUGAGACGCGAAAGCCAGGGGAGCAAACGGG